GCCCCGAGGCGCUGAGCCGCCAGCGCGCUUCGCCAACGCCACACGGAGUUCCCAGGCGAUCACCCAUCCAAGUACUAUCCGUACCCGACGCUGUUUAACUUUCGUGAUCUGACGGGAACGAGUGCACUCAGCGCGGUCAGGGCGUUGGCAUUUCUAUUUUUUACUUAACGUGUUUGCACCUCGGCAUCCUAUAUGAAUGGAAACGAGGAAAGGCUAGAGAGACGCAGAGAGAUAAACUGAUCAGUGAAGUCGAGUAAACGUAUGGGCGUCGUUUUUUAUGAACAAGAACAAGGAGAGGAAUUCUACGGUCCUUGGAAUGGAGAACUUCCAGCUUAUCACCCAGAAGUGUAUGGAUAAUUACUCACUUACUGUUACCAAUUAAUUAAAAUAUCUUCGACCUUAUCAUUUGUCAAAACUGUUAUUACAAUGUAGAUAAAAUGCCAAAAGCAAGAAGGAAUUGUAGAGGCUAUAAUCCAGAAUGAUAGAGCUCUGUAUACGACUGUUAAACCCGAUAUUUCGUUAUCGAACUCACGAUAAGAAUAAAUAUAAUGACCGAGCCCUUCUCGCUGGGCCAUUCGAUUGUUGCAUAUUCACUACCGUAAUCUCCAGGUCGCAAUAUACAUUGACAAAUUUUGAACAGAUGUUACGAUAAUAAAAUGAGCCGUGACACUUUUACAAUUUAUGAUUUUACAAUCCGCGGGAAAAUAACGUACUCAAUAUUCUGAUUUGUGACUCAACAAAAAUAAAGAAACAAAUUUAUACGUUCUCUGUAUUGCAUAUCUCGUUGAACAUAUGGAAAAUCGCUAGUAGCACAUAGAUUAUGAAGAUACAUUUUGCUGGUUAUGAUAUAUUAAUCCUAGUUUUUCAGUACUAUAUCAUAUUUGGAUUUAGGCUUGAAGAACACUUCUUCUUUACUAGUGUUGCUGUUUUUAAGAUCUGUUUCUCGUAGUAGGUCUAUAGAAUUGUAUUAUAUAUUCAACAUUAUUCAUGAAUAUAUUAUGAAAAUUAUGUAAGAAAAUUUAAAUAAAAGGCAAAUUUGAGGUAACAAACUGAUAGAGCAUGUUAUACAAAAUAUGUUGUAAAACGAAUAAACUCACUUCACUU